rnacentral:lncRNA from 1 species
GAGUUUCUUCACCACGGUCCACGGUGGACCGACGAUCCAUGCGGGAGUGCAUGGAUCGAUUGGGCAUUUUUCGCCUGGGUUCUCGCGGUCCAUGUGGACCGAUGGGCGGUUUCUCAUCCGUUUCUCACAGUCCAUUAGGAUUUCUAUGGACCUAAGGUUGUUUUGACAUGAUCGGACGGCAACCAUCGCAUGUGGGUGCAAUCUAGUGGUUGUGGAUGCUACGGACACGAUCAAAGGAGGUUUUAAAUCAAGUUAGAACUCCUGUUACGCAUUGGACUUGGAUUUAGGUCUUUAAAAGGCCUAUGGACAGACUGAGAGGCAUCUGUGUUGGUGUGUUCGACAGAACCUUAGAGACGCCAGCAGCUGCUGAGAGAGGGAGUUUGGUAACAGACCCUGGAGAGGC